AUUGAACGCUGGCGGCAGGCCUAACACAUGCAAGUCGGACGGUAGCACAGAGGAGCUUGCUCCUCGGGUGACGAGUGGCGGACGGGUGAGUAAUGUCUGGGGAUCUGCCCGAUAGAGGGGGAUAACCACUGGAAACGGUGGCUAAUACCGCAUAACGUCGCAAGACCAAAGAGGGGGACCUUCGGGCCUCUCACUAUCGGAUGAACCCAGAUGGGAUUAGCUAGUAGGCGGGGUAACGGCCCACCUAGGCGACGAUCCCUAGCUGGUCUGAGAGGAUGACCAGCCACACUGGAACUGAGACACGGUCCAGACUCCUACGGGAGGCAGCAGUGGGGAAUAUUGCACAAUGGGCGCAAGCCUGAUGCAGCCAUGCCGCGUGUAUGAAGAAGGCCUUCGGGUUGUAAAGUACUUUCAGCGGGGAGGAAGGCGAUGUGGUUAAUAACCGCGUCGAUUGACGUUACCCGCAGAAGAAGCACCGGCUAACUCCGUGCCAGCAGCCGCCGCGA
rnacentral:rRNA from 1 species